AAGCGUGCGCAGGCGGUUAUGUAAGACAGAUGUGAAAUCCCCGGGCUCAACCUGGGAACUGCAUUUGUGACUGCAUGGCUAGAGUACGGUAGAGGGGAGUGGAAUUCCGCGUGUAGCAGUGAAAUGCGUAGAUAUGCGGAGGAACACCGAUGGCGAAGGCAAUCCCCCUGGACCUGUACUGACGCUCAUGCACGAAAGCGUGGGGAGCAAACAGGAUUAGAUACCCUUGU
rnacentral:rRNA from 1 species